rnacentral:rRNA from 1 species
UACAGAGGUCUCAAGCGUUGUUCGGAUUCAUUGGGCGUAAAGGGUGUGUAGGUGGCGCGCUAAGUCGGGUGUGAAAUUUCGGAGCUUAACUCCGAAACUGCAUUCGAUACUGCGGUGCUUGAGGACUGGAGAGGAGACUGGAAUUUACGGUGUAGCAGUGAAAUGCGUAGAGAUCGUAAGGAAGACCAGUGGCGAAGGCGGGUCUCUGGACAGUUCCUGACGCUGAGACACGAAAGCCAGGGGAGCGAACGGG